AUUGAACGCUGGCGGCAUGCUUUACACAUGCAAGUCGAACGGUAACAGGCCUUCGGGUGCUGACGAGUGGCGAACGGGUGAGUAAUGCAUCGGAACGUGCCCAGAGGUGGGGGAUAGCGCAGCGAAAGCUGUGCUAAUACCGCAUGUGAUCUGAGGAUGAAAGCGGGGGACCAAGCAGCAAUGUUUGGCCUCGCGCCUCUGGAGCGGCCGAUGUCAGAUUAGGUAGUUGGUGGGGUAAAGGCCUACCAAGCCGACGAUCUGUAGCUGGUCUGAGAGGACGACCAGCCACACUGGGACUGAGACACGGCCCAGACUCCUACGGGAGGCAGCAGUGGGGAAUUUUGGACAAUGGGCGCAAGCCUGAUCCAGCAAUGCCGCGUGCGGGAAGAAGGCCUUCGGGUUGUAAACCGCUUUUGUACGGAACGAAAAGGCUCUGGCUAAUACCUGGGGCUGAUGACGGUACCGUAAGAAUAAGCACCGGCUAACUACGUG
rnacentral:rRNA from 1 species